rnacentral:rRNA from 1 species
AUUGAACGCUGGCGGCAGGCCUAACACAUGCAAGUCGAACGGUAACAGGGAGAAGCUUGCUUCUUUGCUGACGAGUGGCGGACGGGUGAGUCAUGUCUGGGAAACUGCCUGAUGGAGGGGGAUAACUACUGGAAACGGUAGCUAAUACCGCAUAACGUCGCAAGACCAAAGAGGGGGACCUUCGGGCCUCUUGCCAUCGGAUGUGCCCAGAUGGGAUUAGCUAGUAGGUGGGGUAACGGCUCACCUAGGCGACGAUCCCUAGCUGGUCUGAGAGGAUGACCAGCCACACUGGAACUGAGACACGGUCCAGACUCCUACGGGAGGCAGCAGUGGGGAAUAUUGCACAAUGGGCGCAAGCCUGAUGCAGCCAUGCCGCGUGUAUGAAGAAGGCCUUCGGGUUGUAAAGUACUUUCAGCGGGGAGGAAGGGAGUAAAGUUAAUACCUUGGCUCAUUGACGUUACCCGCAGAAGAAGCACCGGCUAACUCCGUG